rnacentral:rRNA from 1 species
CUAAGAAUCUUGCGCAAUGGGCGAAAGCCUGACGCAGCAAUUCCGCGUGGGGGACGAAGGCCCUCGGGUCGUAAACCCCUUUUGCGAGGGAAGAAGUUCUGACGGUACCUCGCGAAUAAGCCACGGCUAACUACGUGCCAGCAGCCGCGGUAAUACGUAGGUGGCGAGCGUUGUCCGGAUUCAUUGGGCGUAAAGAGCCCGCAGGCGGCCUGUUAAGUUUCAGGUGAAAUCUCCCGGCUCAACUGGGAGGGGUCCUGGAAAACUGGCAGGCUUGAGGCAGGGAGAGGGAUGUGGAAUUCCCGGUGUAGUGGUGAAAUGCUUAGAUAUCGAGAGGAACACCAGUGGCGAAGGCGGCAUCCUGGCCCUGUCUUGACGCUCAGGGGCGAAAGCGUGGGGAGCAACC